rnacentral:Y_RNA from 1 species
AGCUGGAUCUGAGGGUAGUGGGUUAUCAAAAUAUAACAUUAGUGUCACUAAAGUUAGUCUACAAGCCCUCACUGCUACAUUUGGCAGGUUUAAA